GAGGGUAUAGCUCAGUGGCAGAGUGCAUGCUUAGCAUGCAUGAGGUCCUGGGUUCAAUCCUCACUACCUCCA
rnacentral:tRNA from 1 species